ACGGAAGGCAGCAGUGGGGAAUAUUGGGCAAUGGGCGGAAGCCUGACCCAGCGACGCCGCGUGAGGGAAGAAGAUCUUCGGAUUGUAAACCUUAGUCAACAGGGAAGAAGCAAGUGACGGUACCUGUGGAGGAAGCCACGGCUAACUACGUGCCAGCAGCCGCGGUAAUACGUAGGUGGCGAGCGUUAUCCGGAUUUACUGGGUGUAAAGGGAGCGUAGACGGUAUGGCAAGUCUGAUGUGAAAACCCGGGGCUCAACCCCGGGACUGCAUUGGAAACUGUCAAACUAGAGUGCAGGAGGGGUAAGUGGAAUUCCUAGUGUAGCGGUGAAAUGCGUAGAUAUUAGGAGGAACACCGGUGGCGAAGGCGGCUUACUGGACUGUAACUGACGUUGAGGCUCGAAAGCGUGGGGAGCAAACAGGAUUAGAUACCCUGGUA
rnacentral:rRNA from 1 species